rnacentral:rRNA from 1 species
AAUAGAUACCCUGGUAGUCCACGCCGUAAACGAUGGAUACUAGCUGUUGGAGGUAUCGACCCCUUCAGUAGCGAAGCUAACGCGUUAAGUAUCCCGCCUGUGGAGUACGGUCGCAAGACUAAAACAUAAAGGAAUUGACGGGGACCCGCACAAGCGGUGGAUCGUGUUCUUUAAUUCGAUGAUAAACGAAGAACCUUACCAGGGCUUGACAUCCCAAGAAGGCUUCCGAAAGGAAACUGUGCCGUAAGGAACUUGGUGACAGAUGAUGCAUGGCCGUCGUCAGCUCGUGUCGUGAGAUGUUUGGUUAAGUCCAUUAACGAGCGCAACCCUUGUGAAUAGUUGUAUUUUUCUAUUCAGACUGCCCCGGUAACGGGGAGGAAGGAGGGGAUGAGGUCAGGUCUGUAUUUCUCUUACGUCCUGGGCUAGAAACACGAUACAAUGGCUAGUACAAUGCGCAGCGAAGCCGCGAGGUGGAGCAAAUCGCAUCAAAGCUAGUCCCAGUUCGGAUAAGAGGCUGAAACUCGCCUCUUUGAAGUCGGAAUCG